ACAAACUGAAAGAAAAAAUUUCAAAAUAGAAAAGUUAAAACACACGUACUCUAUCAUUACCAGAUCCAAGAACUGAAAAAAUCCAGGACAUUUACAGAGACUUUGGCCAAGAAUGGAUUCUCAUCAACAGGGAGAAGACACCAACACAGACACAGCUUCCACAUCCGACUGCGACUGGGAGAUUGUGGAAAACUCAGAAAUUGAACAGGAGGAGAAUACCCAUCAGCAAAGUUCAAUUUUCAGCUUUUUAUCUGAUACAGCAGGAUCAAUUGUGACUUCUGUGAGUAACGUAGCAGUUAAGCAAUAAACUCACACCUUUGUGUUUUAUGAGAAAAAUUCCCCAACAGGUAGUUGUAUUACAUCAAUUAGAAAUUAUGUUCAGGCUUCAUAGCAGAAAAACUGCCCUUUAAGAAAAAAUAAAGCACCCCAUCCCAAAAUGAAAUACAGGAAAUUAAAGUAGAAAACUAAAGGCGAUACAAACAUUUUUGCAAAGGCACUAACAACAACACCAACUCAAAAUCAGUCCACUUGUGACUGUAGCCCAUGGUGUGAAAAACAGAAAAG